rnacentral:rRNA from 1 species
AUAUCAUUAAGCGGAGGAAAAGAAGCUAACAAGGAUGCCCUCAGUAACGGCGAGUGAAGUGGGCAAAGCUCAAACUGAAAAUCCGUCCCCCAAGCGGGGGAUGCGAAUUGUAGUCUAUAGACGCGCUAGCAGCAGUGGGCCGGGUAUAGAUCUUUUGAAACAAGGUGUCAUAGAGGGUGAGAACCCCGUCCAUGACUCGGAUUCCGCUGCGUACGCUGCGUGUUCAAAGAGUCGGGUUGUUUGGGAAUGCAGCUCAAAAUGGGUGGUAAAUGCCAUCUAAAGCUAAAUAUUGGCGAGAGACCGAUAGCGCACAAGUA